rnacentral:rRNA from 1 species
CACCACAACAGGUGGAGCCUGCGGUUUAAUCGGACUCAACGCCGGGAAAGCUCACCGGAUAAGACAGCGGAAUGAUAGCCGGGCUGAAGACUCUGCUUGACUAGCUGAGAGGAGGUGCAUGGCCGUCGUCAGUUCGUACUGUGAAGCAUCCUGUUAAGUCAGGCAACGAGCGAGACCCACGCCAACAGUUGCCAGCAUGUCCUCCGGGAUGGUGGGGACACUGUUGGGACCGCCUCUGCUAAAGAGGAGGAAGGAAUGGGCAACGGUAGGUCAGCAUGCCCCGAAUUAUCCGGGCUACACGCGGGCUACAAUGGUCAGGACAAUGGGCAUCAACACCGAAAGGUGAAGGCAAUCUCUUAAACCUGUCCUUAGUUCGGAUUGUGGGCUGCAACUCGCCCACAUGAAGCUGGAAUCUGUAGUAAUCGCGUCUCAAAAUGGCGCGGUGAAUAUGUCCCUGCUCCUU